rnacentral:rRNA from 1 species
UACGUAGGGGGGCAAGCGUUGUCCGGAUUUAUUGGGCGUAAAGAGCGUGUAGGCGGCCAUACAGGUCCGUUGUGAAAACUGGAGGCUUAACCUCCAGACGUCGAUGGAAACCGUAUGGCUAGAGUCCGGAAGAGGAGAGUGGAAUUCCUGGGUGUAGCGGUGAAAUGCGCAGAUAUCAGGAAGAACACCCGUGGCGAAGGCGGCUCUCUGGGACGGUACUGACGCUGAGACGCGAAAGCGUGGGGAGCAAACAGG